GGGGUUGUGGCUCAGCGGUAGAGCACUCACCUAGCAUGUGCGAGGCAUAGGGUUCAAUCCUCAGCACCA
rnacentral:tRNA from 1 species